rnacentral:rRNA from 1 species
UACGUAGGGGGCAAGCGUUGUCCGGAAUCAUUGGGCGUAAAGCGCGUGUAGGCGGCUCGGUAAGUCCGCUCUGAAAGUCCAGGGCUCAACCCUGGGAUGCGGGUGGAUACUGCCGGGCUCGAGUCCGGAAGAGGCGAGUGGAAUUCCUAGUGUAGAGGUGAAAUUCGUAGAUAUUAGGAAGAACACCAGUGGCGAAGGCGGCUCACUGGCCCGGUACUGACGCUGAGGCGCGAAAGCGUGGGGAGCAAACAGG